GCUCUAGUUUUGGCAGCACAUAUACUAAAAUUGGAAUGAUACAGAGAAGAUUAGCAUGGACCCUGCGUAAAGAUGACAUCCAAAUCCUUGAAGGGUUCCAUAUUUUU
ensembl:snRNA U6 U6 spliceosomal RNA